rnacentral:lncRNA from 1 species
UGGAAAAGGCAUUUAAAUUUAUUUUAAAACUGUUUUCUGAAGAUAUGUUGGUGGACACACACCACCAUGUUCUAUAGCACCUGGUAGAGUGUCUCUUUGGACACCGCCUUGUAGUGGAAGAAUUGGAACUACUCGUGGAACUCCGGUACACAUGGAUACGUAGCAUGGAUAUGUGUUGGAUGUGGCCUACUGUUACAGAUUGAAAUAACAACACUGUAACAUAUAUUCCUUCUGGCCUGUGUUGGAUGUGGCCUACUGUUACAGAUUGAAAUAGCAACACUGUAACAUAUAUUCCCUCUGGCCUGUGUUGGAUGUGGCCUACAGGUGUACAGCACUCUCUUGGGCAGGCAUGGAUCCAGACCCCCCACGCACACACACACACCUCCUCAGGACAACAACUAUAUUUUUUAUUUAUGCAUUUUAAUAUUUAGAUGAAACAGCACAAAUUAUUGGGAGCAUUUUAAAAUUUAAAGUAAUUUAACAAAAAUAAUUGUGUACCAGUAAACGCGGGCACUUUUCAA